rnacentral:tRNA from 1 species
GCGGGGAUGGUGGAAUUGGUAGACACGAUAGUUUGAGGGGCUAUUGGUGGAAACACUGUGAGGGUUCGAAUCCCUUUUCCCGCACCA